rnacentral:rRNA from 1 species
CCUGCGGAAGGAUCAUUACCGAGUUUUCGAGCUCCGGCUCGACUCUCCCACCCUUUGUGAACGUACCUCUGUUGCUUUGGCGGCUCCGGCCGCCAAAGGACCUUCAAACUCCAGUCAGUAAACGCAGACGUCUGAUAAACAAGUUAAUAAACUAAAACUUUCAACAACGGAUCUCUUGGUUCUGGCAUCGAUGAAGAACGCAGCGAAAUGCGAUAAGUAAUGUGAAUUGCAGAAUUCAGUGAAUCAUCGAAUCUUUGAACGCACAUUGCGCCCCUUGGUAUUCCGGGGGGCAUGCCUGUUCGAGCGUCAUUACAACCCUCAAGCUCUGCUUGGAAUUGGGCACCGUCCUCACUGCGGACGCGCCUCAAAGACCUCGGCGGUGGCUGUUCAGCCCUCAAGCGUAGUAGAAUACACCUCGCUUUGGAGCGGUUGGCGUCGCCCGCCGGACGAACCUUCUGAACUUUUCUCAAGGUUGACCUCGGAUCAGGUAGGGAUACCCGCUGAACUUAAGCAUAUCAA